UACGGAGGGUGCGAGCGUUAUUCGGAAUUAUUGGGCGUAAAGAGCGCGUAGGCGGCCUUACAAGUCAGGUGUGAAAUCCCGGGGCUCAACCCCGGAAGCGCAUUUGAUACUGUAGGGCUUGAGUAUGGGAGAGGGAAGUGGAAUUCCUGGUGUAGCGGUGAAAUGCGUAGAUAUCAGGAGGAACACCGGUGGCGAAGGCGGCUUCCUGGACCAAUACUGACGCUGAGGCGCGAAGGCGUGGGGAGCAAACAGG
rnacentral:rRNA from 1 species